rnacentral:siRNA from 1 species
AGUCCAAGUUCCAUCUGAGUUGCA